ensembl:lncRNA
CUUAACUCAAAUUGUCAACUGUGAAGUAAAAAUGCUUACUCUUACUUAUCUAGUUAAAAAGUGCACAAGAUGCCCCACAGGUGCAAUGUUCCUGUGAACACCCGUUAAGGAAUUCCUUUGCUGCCUGGGAUUCCUCAUCCCUUACUGACUUGACACUUCCCUUGCUGUUUCUGGGAUCACAGUUCGGCAUCCUUUUGCAUUUGAGGUUUUUUCCAUGUUCUGUGCUGGAACUGCUGUAAGAACAGCUGCAAGAAUACAGCCUACUGCUUCCGUCAGCGAGAGGAGGGGCAGCUCAUCAGGAGGCAAACACCACACCAAUCAAGUUAGGAAAUCUUUUCUUAGGAGAGCCAUGCCUCUGUUGCACACUUGGCCCACUAGUACUGCUGAGGGUGAUGCCACAGGAGAGGAAAUCAUAGCCUGGCCACUGCCCAACGCGGCCAGUGUGGGCUCUCAUGCAGUUCCACCUGCACAGCUGCAGAGGUGUGAGCUCAGCACUUCCCCAGGGCUGCUCUCAAGGCAUCCCAGGGCUUUGUGCCUCAGCCUGCUUACACGUUCAGGCUUUCUUCCUACAGGAGCCACAGGCCUGUGGGGAAGGGGUGCUUCUGAGACUCUCUGGUGCCAGUUUUGAUUCCUCUGUGCCGUGGCUGGUUUGUAAUCGUCACUGCCUGGGCAAAAGUGAACACUGCUGCCCUUGGCAGAGAUGGGAAUUGGCAGAUUGGAAAUCUCUUAUUUGCCAGAGUUGUUCCUUCAUAUCUCAUGUUUUCCAGAGCAGCAAAUACAGAUGCAAAUCUCCACGUGGCAAGCAGUGCUGCAUCCUUGUCUUAUUGUCACAGACCCAUCCAUUUUUAUCCCAUGCAUGUGAACCUUCCCCAUCGCAGACUUUUGCAGUGAAGCCACAAGCUUGCACCUUUCCUGUAUCUUUCUCCUGUAUCUCGGCAAGUCAGAGACAAAAUUGGCUGUUCCUUUGAUUUGCUGAUCAGCAGCAUCUGAUGUGUCAGGCAAUAGUUCGAACUGCUCAGCAGGGAUCCUCAUAUCCUGCAUUUCAAGGCUCCACGUCCUGCAGUGCCAGACCUCCCUGCCUAUCUCAGCACAACUCUGAAACACUGUUAGUAUAGAAGUGAACCUUGACUUGGGCAGUUUCUUUUCUGAUAUUUGCCCUCUUGUUAAGACAAGCAUGUAUGCUACCAGAAGCAGUUAUGAAAAAAGGAAUACAGCAGAUGGGAAAAAGGGCAACAGGAAUUCAAAGAGGAAGUGGUCAGUAUUUGCUCAUAACUUUUGCGUAACAGCUCUUCUCUUGGUUCCGUGAGUAGGGAAAACCUAUUACAGCAGCAAGGAAAGGGAAACAUUUCUUUCUGUUUCUGAGCAUGAGAACCAGACUCCUCACCGCUGAAAGCUGCCCAGCACGUUUAAUUCAGCGGUGUGCUCAGGCUGCAAUGGUUCAUUGCACCACGAGUAAAAUGCUGUGCAUGUAAUUACACAUUGCAAUCUGCUGAAGGGCCCUGUGUUAGCCAAGUCCCAUUUAGCUCCCACUUUCUACAAGACUUUGUUUUCUUUGCAAAAGGGUAAAUUCCACUGGUAUUUCAUUUCCUAUUUUAAUUUUUAUUUUUGCAAAUUAGAAGUUUGGUGUUUGGAGGAUGUGAGUGGCUUCUGAAGAAUAUUUUGAUGAUGAGCAUGACCGCCAGGUGGGUAGAAGGGAGACGCCCUCCAGUGCCAGUGGUGGUGCCAUGCUCUGUGCCACACCAAGGAAGGGAUCAGAGGGCUGAGACCCACCAUAAACUGCCUCCAGCACAGUGACAGAACUGCCUGCCGCUGCCGGCUGGUUUUGAAGGCUCUUGCAGCUCUGAGUGUAGCCAUGCUGGAGCCAUUUGUUAUGGAGCUACGGCCUGUUCAGGAGAAAUGAGCUUAUGCAAAUGUCAGCUAAUGAUAAAUAAGUGUCUUUAAUUUAUUUAUUAACUUUGGAAUUAGUGGAAAAGAGCUUCAAGGGAUAUUGGCAACUACCAAAUUUCAAAACUGUUUAUUAGUGUUUUACCUGUACAGUUGAAAGCACUGUCUUUGAAGAAGCAACAGUUGAAAGGAAGGAUAAUUUGGCUUUUUUCUUUUUACAGUCUCUUCUCUGCAAAUAUAAUCUUCCCACUUGCUUAUUUUCUACUUCAUCUUUCCUUUUUUCUUUUCUACUGCUGUGGGAUAAAACUAUGAUUGCAAGUACAGAACACAUCUAGGGGGACCUGAGAACAUAGAGACCACCGAAACAAUUUCAUAUUGCAAGCUCAAGUCCUCCUUUAGCUCUCACUUACAAAUGUUUUACAGCUACAAACCUGCUAGUCUCCAUACUGUAAUAAUCAUUCAACUUCAUGAAUAAUUUUGCCUAUCAACCACAAGAUAAAAUCUAGCAAUAUGUUACUUCUUUGUGUGAGAUGUGGUAAUCUUUCCUAUAGAUCUGGAAAGGGGGAGAAACUUCACAAAUUCUGAUCUGAAAAUUGCUUUUCCUUCCUCUCUGUAAAGAUCAAGGACACAAAGGCUGCAGUCCAACCUCCAGCACUGAGAGGGCC